UAGGGAAUAUUGGACAAUGGGCGAAAGCCUGAUCCAGCAACGCCGCGUGAGUGCUAAGGCCUUCGGGUUAUAAAACUCUUUUAGUAGGGAAGAUAAUGACGGUACCUACAGAAAAAGCUCCGGCUAACUUCGUGCCAGCAGCCGCGGUAAUACGAGGGGAGCUAGCGUUACUCGGAAUUAUUGGGCGUAAAGCGUGCGUAGGCGGCUUAGUAAGUUAGAAGUGAAAUCCUUGGGCUUAACUCAAGAACUGCUUUUAAUACUGCUGAGCUAGAGUGUUAGAGGGGAUAGCGGAAUUUCUAGUGUAGAGGUGAAAUUCGUAGAUACUAGAAGGAACACCGGUGGCGAAAGCGGCUAUCUGGCUAAAUACUGACGCUGUUGCACGAAAGCGUGGGGAGCAAAC
rnacentral:rRNA from 1 species